UUGACGGGGACCCGCACAAGCGGUGGAGUAUGUGGUUUAAUUCGAUGCAACGCGAAGAACCUUACCUGGUCUUGACAUCCCGGAGACCCUUAGGAAACUAGGGGGUGCUUCCAUCUGGAAGAAUCUGGAGACAGGUGCUGCAUGGCUGUCGUCAGCUCGUGUCGUGAGAUGUUGGGUUAAGUCCCGCAACGAGCGCAACCCUUGCCUUUAGUUGCCAGCAGUUCGGCUGGGCACUCUAAAGGGACUGCCGGUGUUAAACCGGAGGAAGGUGGGGAUGACGUCAAGUCCUCAUGGCCUUUAUGACCAGGGCUACACACGUACUACAAUGGCCGAUACAAAGGGCAGCGACACUGCGAGGUGAAGCCAAUCCCGUAAAAUCGGUCUCAGUCCGGAUUGGAGUCUGCAACUCGACUCCAUGAAGUUGGAAUCGCUAGUAAUCGUGGAUCAGCAUGCCACGGUGAAUACGUUCCCGGGCCUU
rnacentral:rRNA from 1 species